rnacentral:rRNA from 1 species
CUAAGGCCAGGCGGAAACGCGUAGUCGAUGGGAAAUCGGUUUAUAAUCCGAUACUUAUUAAGUUUUUAUGGAAUGACGCAUGAGGUGAAAUCCGGCCGGGCGACGGUUGUCCCGGUCAAAGCAAUGAGGUGAUGAGGGAGUGGUUAAAAGAACUCCUGAGCUGAGUUGUGACAGCGAGCGGAAAGAAAGUUGAAGCGAAGCGGACGUAGUCAUGGUGCCGGGAAAUAAUUCCUAGGUCAGGCUUGAUGAACCGUACCGUAAACGGACACACGUAUGUAGGAUGAGUAAUCUAAGGCGCACGAGCGAACUCGCGUUAAGGAACUCGGCAAAAUGCGCACGUAACUUCGGAAGAAGUGCGGCUCCUGUUUGAAAGAUUGGGAGCGACACAAAGCAGGCCCAGGCGACUGUUUAUCAAAAACACAGCCAUCUGCGAAUCAGUAAUGAGACGUAUAGGUGGUGACACCUGCCCGGUACUGGAAGGUUAAGAGGAGCGGUUAUCCGUAAGGAGAAGCUGUGAAUCGAAGCCCCAGCAAACGGCGGCCGUAACUAUAACGGUCCUAAGGUAGCGAAAUUCCUUGUCGGGUAAGUUCCGACCCGCACGAAUGGUGUAACGAUUCUGGGCACUGUCUCAACGCGAGACUCGGUGAAAUUUAUAUGUCGGUAAAGAAGCCGACUACCUAUAUCUAGACGGAAAGACCCCGUGAACCUUCACCGUAACUUAAUAUUGGGAUCCUAUUUAUCAUGUGUAGGAUAGUUGGGAGACUGUGAAACGUGGCCGUCAGGUUGCGUGGAGUCACUGGUGAAAUACCAACCUUGAUGAAUGGGAUUUCUAACCGAAACCUUGAAGCAGGCUUCGGGACAAUGUUAGGCAGGCGGUUUGACUGGGGCGGUCGCCUCCCAAAGAGUAACGGAGGUGCGCGAAGGUCUCCUCGCGGUGGUUGGAAAUCAUCGUAUGAGUGUAAAGGCACAAGGAGGCUUGACUGAGAGAUAGACAUAUCGAUCAGGUACGAAAGUAGGUCUUAGUGAUCUGAUGGUGCAGAGUGGAAUGGCCAUCACUUAACGGACAAAAGGUACUCCGGGGAUAACAGGCUGAUUUUCCCCAAGAGUUCACAUCGACGGGAAAGUUUGGCACCUCGAUGUCGGCUCAUCGCAUCCUGGGGCUGGAGCAGGUCCCAAGGGUUUGGCUGU